rnacentral:tRNA from 1 species
GUGAUAAUAAUUUAGAAAAAUAAUGAUUUAGAAGAUUAUAAAACAUAUUUAAAACUAAAUCAAUUAGUUUCAACGAACCCUUCUUUUAAUAUAUAAUAAUAUAUAAUUAUAAUAUAUAAUAAAAAAUAAAUUUAUUUUUAUUAUU